AGUGGUCACCAUUCGUACGUGGGGCACAUUCGUACAGUUAGUAUAGCAGAAAAACUAAACGGCACACAAACACUCCUUUGCUUGUGUGCAUUGAUAUACCAGCCGCCAUAUUGUUAGCGGAGUGGCGCGACAGUCGCACCACGGUGUAUCACGGCUGACAAGACGUAAUGUGUUUUCGCGCGCGAAUCAUGGUGCGAAAAUAAAAAAAAGGGCAUGCGUACUCAAGACGUGGAUGAGGAGUCCAUAAAAUUAGCAGUUGACGACGUAAUUCAUGGACGCUUGUCGUAUAGGAAAGCCGCGUUGAAAUCCUACUUAUAUCCUACUUAUAUAUUAUAAAUGUGAAAUGUAUGGAUGUAUGUUUGUUAUUCAAUCACGCAAAAAUGGCUGGACCGAUUUGAUUGAAAUUUGGUAUGUAGAUAGGUGAUACCCUGGAUUAACACAUAGGCUACUUUUUAUCAACACACCACGCGGGCGAAGCCGCUGGCGGAAGCUAGUAUAACAUCAAGACGUCGACGUUGGAAAGCAGAGUCAAGAAAUUCAACGAAGGCUCUAACAGCGAUGGACCCUCACGAACAUUGCAUUCUAAGUUCACGAGUCUACAAGUCUUCUCCUUGGAAGAAGAGACACGCUUAAAUGACUACAUUAUUAAUUGCUGCAAAAUGCAUUAUGGGCUUACAACAGUACAAAUUCGCAAACUUGCCUACGAAUUAUCAAUAAGUAAACUAAGGAUGAAUGAUUUAAUGUUUUGUUAUUUUUCUAAAGAAAGAUUUAUCGACUAUGAGUCAAGUCAAAUAUUAUUAAGUUAGUUCUUUGAGAAAUACAUAUUUUUUAUAAUAAUUAAUAAAAAUUUAACGGCUUUAA